GUUUCCGUAGGUGAACCUGCGUAGGAUCAUUA
rnacentral:rRNA from 1 species